CCUACGGGCGGCUGCAGUCGAGGAUCUUCCGCAAUGGGCGAAAGCCUGACGGAGCGACACCGCGUGCAGGAUGAAGGCCUUCGGGUUGUAAACUGCUGUCACGCCAUAGGAAAAGCUGAGGGUGAACAGCCUUCAGCCUGACCAAAGCGAGAGGAAGCACCGGCUAACUCUGUGCCAGCAGCCGCGGUAAGACAGAGGGUGCAAACGUUGCUCGGAAUCACUGGGCAUAAAGCGCACGUAGGCGGUUCACUAAGUCCGAUGUGAAAUCCCCCGGCUCAACCGGGGAACUGCAUCAGAUACUGGUGGACUCGAGAGUUGUAGGGGUGGACGGAACUCCAGGUGGAGCGGUGAAAUGCGUAGAUAUCUGGAGGAACACCGGAGGCGAAAGCGGUCCACUGGGCAACUUCUGACGCUGAGGUGCGAAAGCUAGGGUAGCAAAC
rnacentral:rRNA from 1 species